rnacentral:ribozyme from 1 species
CGCCUGGAUGCUUCUUCUUCUUUUUCCAAGGUUUCUUCUAUUGGCACUUGACGAAUAGACCCUGCAAGAAUCUCUCUUGUCGCCAGCUGGAAUGGUUCAUUGGCUAUGGCAUUCACGUUUGUCUCGCAGCAUCGUCUUGUCGACGGUAUUCAGUCUCGUAGUUCGGCCCGUGCCA